UGGGGCAUCGCCCAAAUGGUAAGGCAUCGGUUUUUGGUACCGACAUUCCCAGGUUCGAAUCCUGGCGCCCCAGCCA
rnacentral:tRNA from 1 species